CAGAGUAUAAUAUAAUGUUGUUUUCUUUUACAUAGAAAAUUUUUCCGUUUAGUGCAGAAUGCUCUGA
rnacentral:tRNA from 1 species